CCAAACCAGGUCCAAUGUCAUUUUCUCUUCCUGCUGCCUGCUGAUCAGUUGGUAGAACUCUCAGCUACCUCUCCAGCACCAUGUCUGCCUGCAUGCUGCCAUGUUUCCUGCCAUGACAAUAAUGGACUAAACCUCUGAACCUUUUGCACAGAAACUUCCAGCACUAUGAAGCCUAGCCAGUUGAGAAAAGGUUUGAAGAUGCUGGCUGAUUACCUCUGGAUGCCUGACCUUGGUGGAGAAUGGUUCACAGUUUGUUUAACAAUAGGCCUAGGCACCUGGGUAGAUGCACACCAAUCUUGGGGCUGGUGGAAUGUGCCUACAAACUAGUAAGCUACUUAAGAGGAUGCUUGAAAAAACUGUGGACUCCAGUAUGGACUGAUAGCCCUCGUGAGAUAACAAGAUGCCUCUGUCUCAUCCUUAACACCGUUGGGUAGUUAGGAAUGUCCUCGUCCAUACUCUCCCACUCAGGGAUGUCCCGGGGCUGUUCUGCUGACUCCGAUUGCAGCCCCAAAGACAUCAGUCCAGAAUAGAUGGUGUCUGUAGCAUGGGACUGAUACAGACCGGACCCUGGCAAUGGACACUAUCUUUGAGUCAACAGUACCCAUUCUCAUGAAAGAAGUCAAAUGUACUUUA
rnacentral:lncRNA from 1 species